AAUAUCCUCAGAUGAGGAUUAACAACAACAACAACAAAAGUGACAGGAGGACUUCAGCCGUGUGCUCUGCAGGGGCCGGGAGGCCAAGGUCGGCCUUGCUCAGCACCUGGAGGGACAGCGCGUCCCAACAUCAAAGCCUGGCCGCCAGGAGUUGGGGUCGAUGCUGCUGUUGCCAUGUCAUUCUGGUCGUCAUGCAGCACGUGCUGAAGGCUCCGGAGCCCUGAGCCAGCCGCCUCCGUCACAAGAAGUUGCCAGUACAUUGGCCACAAAGAUGCACGUUUAUCCUGCCUCAACCUCAUCGUCGUUCCUUCUCUUCUGUCGCCAGGGGCCUCAGGUCCUCUGGCUCGGCCCUCUGUCAAGGCCUGUGCCCUUGUUGGGCUCCCUGGGCUGUGGGCUCCCAAGAUGCCUCCGGCCAGGGCUCACCUGGUGCCGGCACUGACCGAACCAUUGGAAAAGGUGGAAGAAGCAACCUGGGGACAGCAGCUCUGCUCCAAACCCCGUGGUGGGCCUCAGGGAUGUUGCUCCUUCUCUCUGGGACUCAGUUUACUGCGUCAAAUGGGGCAGUAAUCAUAGCUCCUCUCUGGGGAAGACUGUGAUGGCCACACUCGUCAGCAUUUAGGGUACACCUGAUUUUACCAGGAAGGAAUGGGGGGAUCCAAAUGCCUUUCUUCACAGGUGCGUUGUAAGUGACCGUCCCAAGUGGCCGGCGUGGCGAAGCAUGACCGCAUCCACGUAAGCGUAACAGUGUGCUCUGGGAUCUAGCAGACAAUCUGGGCGUCGGGAAAGGCAAUCAUAUUUCACCGGCUCUGAGAAAAAUGAACACAGUUCCACAGCCACAUAGAGCUUGAGCGGAAUCUGUGAGCAAGGAGUGGGUGAGGGAGAACGUGCCGGGAGAGCCAAUACCGGCCUGUGUUUGCUGCAGCCCGAUAACAGGAAGACAAACCCCAAAUUAAACAAAUAGGAAUGAAUUUCUCUGCGUGUAGUCGGAGCAGAUAUAUCACUUAAAAAUGGGUAGAGCAAGCGGCAGAAUGCAAUAAAUCCAAAUGAACUCCGAGGCUGAAGUAAAAACAAAUAUUUCACUGAGUAGCAGUACAAGAUGGGACACGGGAGGAAAACAGAGAAAGGACUGUUUGGAAGAACCACUCACGACGUAGUCACAUGACUGUGGCAGGAAGGGGUCGGCCAGCCUUAUCUCCACGGGCACAUGUACAGGUAGGGCACCCUCCCAAGGGACCUGAGGCACCGAGAGACUCCUACCUCAACCUGGAGGUGAGGGGAUGGGCUCAGGGAAAACUGCGAGCCCUGCUCCUGUGCCCUCUCUCUGCAGCCCCAAACCAUUCCGCUCGCCAUCAACUCCAUGUCUUGGCCACGGGCUUCUUGAAGCAAAUGCCGUAAACUGUGAUCCUUGGCUUUUUCUUUUUCUUUCUUUUAAAUCACAACAGCUUUAUUGAGAGAGAAUUCACAUACCACCCAACUCAGCCAUUUCAAGGGUACAACUGUAUGGGGUUUUUAAAAAUAUAUAUAUUUUAUUGAUUUUUUACAGAGAGGAAGGGAGAGG